CUUCUAUUCACUAAAACCAUGUGUCUGAACUGAAGAAGCUUGGGCUCACUUCCACAAAUAAAGCGACAGAAGAAAUUAUAGGCGAGGUUGAGAUCUAAAAGGAGAGCUCCAGAAUGGAGGCUUGGACCAGGGGCAGACCAGGAGCUUAUCAAGAUACAAUUGAAUAAUCAAAGGGUGGAGCCUGGACAAAAUGUUUACUUGUCUGUAGGUAGCCUUGUCAGAUGAUAUGCAAAUGAUUCACAUCAGUGUUUGAAGUUCAAACCAAGGAAAACUAUCAGAAAAGGCUUCUGCUUUCUUUAAAAAA
rnacentral:sRNA from 1 species